CCUACGGGAGACAGCAGUGGGGAAUAUUGCGCAAUGGGCGAAAGCCUGACGCAGCGACGCCGCGUGAGGGAUGAAGGUCUUCGGAUCGUAAACCUCUGUCAGCAGGGAAGAACGGUCACUGUGCUAAUCAGCAGUGAAUUGACCGUACCUGCACAGGAAGCACCGGCUAACUCCGUGCCAGCCGCCGGGGUAAUACGGAGGGUGCGGACGGUAAUCGGAAUUACUGGGAGUAAAGCGCUCGUAGGAGGUAUGUCAAGUCAAGGGUGAAAUCCCCGGGAGAAACGUGGGAAAUGCCUUUGAAACUGGCAAACUUGAGUGUGUGAGAGGAUAGUGGAAUUCCAGGUGUAGGAGUGAAAUCCGUAGAUAUCUGGAGGAACAUCAGUGGCGAAGGCGACUAUCUGGCACAUAACUGACGCUGAGGAGCGAAAGCGUGGGUAGCAAACAGGAUUAGAUACCCUGGUAGUC
rnacentral:rRNA from 1 species